rnacentral:rRNA from 1 species
GAGCGAAUCUCGGAAAGCCGGUCUCAGUUCGGAUUGGGGUCUGCAACUCGACCUCAUGAAGUCGGAGUCGCUAGUAAUCGCAGAUCAGCAACGCUGCGGUGAAUACGUUCCCGGGGCUUGUACACACCGCCCGUCAAGUCAUGAAAGUUGGUAACACCCGAAGCCGGUGGCCUAACCGUUGUGGGGGAGCCGUCGAAGGUGGGACUGGUGAUUAGGACUAAGUCGUAACAAGGUA